rnacentral:lncRNA from 12 species
CUUGUUUAAGAAUCAAAAUUUAAGGGAUCCCUGGGUGGCUCAGCGGUUGAGCAUCUGCCUUCAGCUCAGGGCAUGGUCCUGGGGUCCUGGGAUCGAGUCUCACAUCUGGCUCCCUGCAGGGAGCCUGCUUCUCCCUCUGCCUAUGUCUCUGCCUCUCUCUCUCUCUGUGUGUGUGUGUGUGUGUGUGUCUCUCAUGAAUAAAUAAAAUCUUUUUAAAAAAUCCACAAGUCUGUGCUUAUAUUAAAAAACAAAAGACUCCAGAGCCCCAGAGUCACAGCCAAUUCCUACUGCAGUCCCACAUUUGCCCACCUCCUCUUUCCUUUCAACCUGACAGAUGCCACUGUGCCUUUCCCCAAGGACUUCCCGGCUAAUGGAGUGGCCGCUGCCACCAACAAGACCAUGGUAGUGCUGGUGGUCAAGCUGCUGCUGCAGAUGUAGCAUGCCAGCAAGCAACUCACCACAGAGAAGCAAUACAAGGGCAUAUAUACUACCUGGUUCAUAACCCCACAGAGCACCGAGUUCCGUCCUGCCUGCUUACAGGAACCUGCCUCAGAGAGACUGUGAUACAGCAAUCGUGCACUCAGUCCUUCCCACAGCCCUCUGAGGAAAAUACUGCCAUUACUUCCAUUUUCCACACGAGGACCCUUGAAUUAUUAUACGAUAGUGGUAAAAGUGACAUCAUACAUAGGAAUCAAGUGCUCUCAGAGCAAAUAAAAAUACUUGAACAACUACAAAUUUGCUGGCUAUAUUUAUGAUUUCCAGGAGGAACUAACAACUGAGGUGAGGCUUUAAAGAUCAAAAGCAUUUUUUUCGGCUGAGAAAGACAGGGGAUUAUUCCAGGCAAAGGGAACAACAUUAGCAAAGGCAUAGAGAAAGAGAAUAUGUUCCUUCUGGACCAGACACACUGAUCGGGGCUGAACCUGGAGUUCCCAGGGGCUAGUCUCUGAGACAGAGGUGGUGUGGGGAAAGAGAUGGGAAUUUAACUUGAGGUCGUGUAUAAGAAUGUGGAUUAUCCCAUAGAAGACCACAGGGUAUUAGAUAUUGGGGGGGAUGAGUGGCAUGAGCGGUUGUUUAUAAAAGAAAACUUUAGCAUAAGAGCGGAGCAUCAGGAGGAAGCAGGGUUGAGGCAAGGAAGCAACGGAUAGGAGAGGCAGUAAUGGUUUCAAUGGUUUGAACUGGUGCCAUGAGGAAACUACUGCAACAUGCACGCCAAGGGGAACCCUGACAGAAGUUACUGAGCCCUUGCAAAGGUGUCAGGACAGAAUUCAAUGUGCUCAGAACUGAUGGGGAGGCUCCGUGAUGACACAGGGAUGGGCAAGGGUCAAUGGUGACCACUGGAAAAGAGAGUGAUUAAAAUCAACGUUUUUUUCAUCUUAAUGACAAUCAAAGAAUCCUAGUCAAAAUGCUCUGCUUUGGCUGAUGGGACAGGGGAUCAGGAGUAGUGAAAGGACUGGGAGAAGUUGAAAAGGAAUUUAAUUCUUCCAGUUUUGUCAGAGCUAGGGAAGCGGCAGGGUAGGCGACGGACCAGUAUGGUUGCCAACAACUUCUUGGCGUUUUCUCUGGCUUCCCCACUGUCUGGAGACUAGACUCUCUCACAACAUCCAUUUUCCAGGUACACUGCACUUCUUCACCAGCGUGAUAAAUUAAAUUCCUUUUUAGCUUUGAUUUUCUUCAUACCCACAGGAGACUACAGUGUGCAAAGUACAAAGUCAGCCGGUCUGACUUACAAGAGGCUGGGACAUCCUGUUCCAUAAA